GACGAACGCUGGCGGCGUGCUUAACACAUGCAAGUCGAACGGGCCUUGUCCCCUUUUUUUUUGGGGGUGGGGUUAGUGGCGAACGGGUGAGUAACACGUGAGUAACCUGCCCCUCACUUCUGGAUAACCGCUUGAAAGGGUGGCUAAUACGGGGUGUUCUGGCCUGCUCGCAUGGGUGGGUUUGGAAAGAUUCGACCGGUUUUGGUUGUUUUGGUGGGGGAUGGGCUCGCGGCCUAUCAGCUUGUUGGUGGGGGGAUGGCCUGCCAAGGCUUUGACGGGUAGCCGGCCUGAGAGGGUGGGCGGUCACACUGGGACUGAGACACGGCCCAGACUCCUACGGGAGGCAGCAGUGGGGAAUAUUGCACAAUGGGCGCAAGCCUGAUGCAGCGACGCCGCGUGAGGGAUGGAGGCCUUCGGGUUGUGAACCUCUUUCGCCAGUGAAGAAGGUCCUGCUCCUUGUGGUGGGGUUGACGGUAGCUGGGUUAAUGAAGCGCCGGCUAACUACGUG
rnacentral:rRNA from 1 species